GGCUCGUUCGUCUAGGGGUCAGGACGCUGGAUUUUGAUUCCAGAAGCACCAGUUCGAAUCUGGUACGAGCCU
rnacentral:tRNA from 2 species